rnacentral:rRNA from 1 species
UAAUUGAAGAGUUUGAUCAUGGCUCAGAUUGAACGCUGGCGGCAGGCCUAACACAUGCAAGUCGAGCGGUAACAGGGGAAGCUUGCUUCCCGCUGACGAGCGGCGGACGGGUGAGUAAUGUAUGGGGAUCUGCCCGAUAGAGGGGGAUAACUACUGGAAACGGUGGCUAAUACCGCAUAAUCUCUUAGGAGCAAAGCAGGGGAACUUCGGUCCUUGCGCUAUCGGAUGAACCCAUAUGGGAUUAGCUAGUAGGUGGGGUAAUGGCUCACCUAGGCGACGAUCCCUAGCUGGUCUGAGAGGAUGAUCAGCCACACUGGGACUGAGACACGGCCCAGACUCCUACGGGAGGCAGCAGUGGGGAAUAUUGCACAAUGGGCGCAAGCCUGAUGCAGCCAUGCCGCGUGUAUGAAGAAGGCCCUAGGGUUGUAAAGUACUUUCAGUCGGGAGGAAGGCGUUGAUGCUAAUAUCAUCA